rnacentral:rRNA from 1 species
GUGGGGAAUAUUGGACAAUGGGGGGAACCCUGAUCCAGCCAUGCCGCGUGUGUGAAGAAGGCCUUUUGGUUGUAAAGCACUUUAAGCGAGGAGGAGGCUACCGAGAUUAAUACUCUUGGAUAGUGGACGUUACUCGCAGAAUAAGCACCGGCUAACUCUGUGCCAGCAGCCGCGGUAAUACAGAGGGUGCAAGCGUUAAUCGGAUUUACUGGGCGUAAAGCGCGCGUAGGUGGCCAAUUAAGUCAAAUGUGAAAUCCCCGAGCUUAACUUGGGAAUUGCAUUCGAUACUGGUUGGCUAGAGUAUGGGAGAGGAUGGUAGAAUUCCAGGUGUAGCGGUGAAAUGCGUAGAGAUCUGGAGGAAUACCGAUGGCGAAGGCAGCCAUCUGGCCUAAUACUGACACUGAGGUGCGAAAGCAUGGGGAGCAAACAGGAUUAGAUACCCCAGUAGUCC